rnacentral:rRNA from 1 species
AGUGAACGCUGGCGGUAGGCCUAACACAUGCAAGUCGAACGGCAGCACAGUAAGAGCUUGCUCUUACGGGUGGCGAGUGGCGGACGGGUGAGGAAUACAUCGGAAUCUACUUUUUCGUGGGGGAUAACGUAGGGAAACUUACGCUAAUACCGCAUAUGACCUACGGGUGAAAGCAGGGGAUCUUCGGACCUUGCGCGAUUCAAUGAGCCGAUGUCGGAUUAGCUAGUUGGCGGGGUAAAGGCCCACCAAGGCGACGAUCCGUAGCUGGUCUGAGAGGAUGAUCAGCCACACUGGAACUGAGACACGGUCCAGACUCCUACGGGAGGCAGCAGUGGGGAAUAUUGGACAAUGGGCGCAAGCCUGAUCCAGCCAUACCGCGUGAGUGAAGAAGGCCUUCGGGUUGUAAAGCCCUUUUGAUGGGAAAGAAAAGCAGCAGGUUAAUACCCCGCUGUUCUGACGGUACCCAAAGAAUAAGCACCGGCUAACUUCGUG